GGGAAGCGCAGCCAAGGAUGAUGGAGAGAGGGAGUACCUACCGGAGGAGUGGCCUUCACGAUCCCAGCCCAACAUGCGGACUUUGUUUAUAACGUGUGGAAGGGGACAAUGUGGAGACAUCUCACGUCGCUUCACUUUCUCAAACCCUGCGGCAGAUCGUUUCACCCUGUCACUGUAUCAGGAGCCCGUCUACGUUCGAUUUUAGACUGGAGUAACUCAUCUUCAGAAAUCACUUUCAAGAAAUAAAGAGUCUGCGCUCUAUGCCCCCCCGGUGCCCGCCCCAGGCCCCAUGGUUCCCCCAGCUAGCAUGUUUGGCAACGUACCAGGGUACGAGGACACUUUAGCUGGCGGAGGAGGUGGAUAUCUCCCCCCACCGAUGCCCUUGCACCCGAAUCGGGAUCCAGAGCCUGCACCCGUACAACAAGACUGGAAGUAUGGACCCAUCAC